rnacentral:rRNA from 1 species
AGCAGCCGCGGUAAUUCCAGCUCCAAUAGCGUAUAUUAAAGUUGUUGCAGUUAAAAAGCUCGUAGUUGAAUUUCGGGGUUAGCAGGCUGGUCGUGCCACUGGUAUGUACUGGCUUUGCUGGCUUCUCCUUCUUGAAGAACUGUGAUGCCAUUAAUUUGGUGUUGCAGGGAAACAGGACUGUUACUUUGAAAAAUUAGAGUGUUUAAAGCAGGCUAACGCUUGAAUACAUUAGCAUGGAAUAAUGAAAUAGGACGUUCGAUUCUAUUUUGUUGGUUUCUAGGAUUGACGUAAUGAUUAAUAGGGAUAGUUGGGGGCAUUAGUAUUCAAUUGUCAGAGGUGAAAUUCUUGGAUUUAUUGAAGACUAACUACUGCGAAAGCAUUUGCCAAGGAUGUUUUCAUUAAUCAAGAACGAAAGUUAGGGGAUCGAAGACGAUCAGAUACCGUCGUAGUCUUAACCAUAAACUAUGCCGACUAGGGAUCGGAUGAUGUUAAUUUUUAAUGUA